UGGGUCGACCGGGCGAUCACGGGCGGCUAUGACCGCCUGAGGAAAGUCCGCGCUCCACAGAGCACGGUGCCGGGUAACACCCGGGCGGGGUGACCCGCGGAAAGGACCACAGAAAAAGACCGCCUGGUCGAAUGGGUCUAGUGGAGUGUUUCUUUUCACUGGAGCUCAUUCGAUCGGGUAAGGGUGAAAAGGCGGUGUAAGAGACCACCGGCGUUGGCAGUAAUGUCAACGGCCAGGCAACCCCCAUCGGGAGCAAGGCCAAGCAGGAGCGAAAUCCGGAUACGGACGGGAGGUUGCUCGUCUUCCUUGAGCUCCGGGUAGGCCGCAUGAGCCCCACGGUGACGUGUGGGCCGAGAUAGAUGAUCGCUCAGAUCGAUACCUGAGGGAGGAAGGGUUAAUCCGGGAAAUACGUCAGACUAGCCUAGCGGUUUGGCAUUGGGUAAGCCCGUAAACCGCAUGUAUCUUUCGGACAGAACGCGGCUUAUAGGUCGAGCCUCAGU
rnacentral:RNase_P_RNA from 1 species